GUAUCAGAUUUGCUUGAGUAUGCCCAGUGCAUGUCCUGCUAUCAUGGUGGAUGUAUGUAUGUACACCUUUGCCCUGCGAGAGAGGAUUUGAAUUCAAGUGAUCGCUUCCUGCAUGGCCUGUGGUACAUUAGGCCUUAGUUGUUCAUUGGCAUAAAGGUGGUUGUAUUUCUUCCCUCCAAAAACAUUGGUGGAUACGAUGUCACUUUAGGUGUUUUUCUGCGUUUGAUCUUUUUGGACGUGCAGACAGUGGCCCCUAAGUAGGUUAACGCCAGGAUUUCUGCUGUUGCGGGAAGCAUUCCAAGUACAUUGCAUAUAGGCUAGGUUCCUCUGUGUGUGUGUUUGAGUUUGUGUGUGUGUGCAUGUGUAAUAUGUGUAGUGUCCUUUGGAAAUAAUUUCUUUUCAUCUUGUAAUACCUUCACAGAGAACCAAGUAUUUCACACUCAUCGAGUAUAUAUUCGCUGUUUAGGCAUGCAGAAGACUCCUUGAAUCAAAAUCUGUCAACAACAAAGUGGGGAUCGAUGGAAUGCUCCGGGCUCUCUGGUGUUCAAUGACUUCUGGUCUCGCUCAACCUUGCUCUUCAGUAGAUGCAAGGCAUGCAGAAGACUCCUUGAAUCAAAAUCUGUCAACAACAAAGUGGGGAUCGAUGGAAUGCUCCGGGCUCUCUGGUGUUCAAUGACUUCUGGUCUCGCUCAACCUUGCUCUUCAGUAGAUGCAAGGCAUGCAGAAGACUCCUUGAAUCAAAAUCUGUCAACAACAAAGUGGGGAUCGAUGGAAUGCUCCGGGCUCUCUGGUGUUCAAUGACUUCUGGUCUCGCUCAACCUUGCUCUUCAGUAGAUGCAAGGCAUGCAGAAGACUCCUUGAAUCAAAAUCUGUCAACAACAAAGUGGGGAUCGAUGGAAUGCUCCGGGCUCUCUGGUGUUCAAUGACUUCUGGUCUCGCUCAACCUUGCUCUUCAGUAGAUGCAAGGCAUGCAGAAGACUCCUUGAAUCAAAAUCUGUCAACAACAAAGUGGGGAUCGAUGGAAUGCUCCGGGCUCUCUGGUGUUCAAUGACUUCUGGUCUCGCUCAACCUUGCUCUUCAGUAGAUGCAAGGCAUGCAGAAGACUCCUUGAAUCAAAAUCUGUCAACAACAAAGUGGGGAUCGAUGGAAUGCUCCGGGCUCUCUGGUGUUCAAUGACUUCUGGUCUCGCUCAACCUUGCUCUUCAGUAGAUGCAAGGUCAGAAAUUCAUCUACAAGGUGACGAUUAGAAUA